rnacentral:rRNA from 1 species
GACAGAGGGUGCAAACGUUGUUCGGAAUCACUGGGCAUAAAGCGCGUGUAGGCGGCUUCUCAAGUCGGGUGUGAAAUCCCAGGGCUCAACCCUGGAAGUGCAUUCGAAACUGGGUAGCUAGAGUACUGGAGAGGAAGGUGGAAUGCUUGGUGUAGAGGUGAAAUUCGUAGAUAUCAAGCGGAACACCGGUGGCGAAGGCGGCCUUCUGGACAGAUACUGACGCUGAGACGCGAAAGCGUGGGGAGCAAACAGG